CGGUCCACACCGUAUCGCUAAACCAAGAAAAGCUGCUCUCAUUUCCUUUGGAUGACUGUCCUCGCUACAAACAGCUGAUGAAKGAAACUGAAAAAACAGCAGAAUUUAUCAAUGUCACAACAAAAUACCAGGACUUUAUAGAGAUGGUAAAAAAUAAAACGGGACUGAAGUCAGCGAAUGUGGAAUCGUUGUGGAGUGUGUACGACACACUAUUCUGUGAGUCCCGACACAACAUGUCCGCUCCAGACUGGGUGACUCCCGACGUCAUGGAGAAGCUCAAGUUUCUGAAAGACUUUGGAU